GUGAUUUUUUCUACCUUUUUUUUGAGUUUGCCCAUUGUUGAUGUUGUACCUCUCCUCCCUGCUCUACCCCUGACCCCAGGCGGUGGGAGAGGAGUUAGGGUUUAACCGCCCGUGAAAGAUGGCCACUUGGCAGCUUUGGAAUGUGGGAGUCUGUUUACCUAGGGGCCAAACUGGAGGCCGGAAACAAGGCACACUUCUCAUGCCUCAAGCUCAGUCUGGGGGAGCCGUCCUUCUCCCUGUGAAGCAGAGGGGCUCAACAAAGGUCUCAAAGGGACCACACCAAGUACUUUGCAUACAGUAUCCUCUUCAGUCCUCACUCUACUCGGUGAGCAACUCAUGCGCUCGUAGUUCACGUGCAGCCAUUUUUGUGGACAUGUUCCUGAUGGAUGAUGAGAACCUGUCGUGAAAUGGUGCACCAGGAGGAGAGAGGAGAGCCCGGAG
rnacentral:lncRNA from 1 species